rfam:Strigamia maritima strain Brora ctg7180000841935, whole genome shotgun sequence.
UUCCAGGUAGCUUAAUGGUAAAGCACCCAACCUGCAAUUGGGGGAUCUGGGUUCAAGUCCCGGUCCGGGCU